UCCUCCACCCACCUUCUCGGAGAUGUCCCUUUUGGGGUAGUGGGGACAUUAGGAGCAACCUCCUAGGGUUGUUGUGAGAAUUAAAUGAACUGCAGCAGCCUGAGGCAGGGCUGGGCAGAGACCUCAGCACAUGUUUGUUGAAAGGUUUGCAGGUGGAUCUAGUCCUCCCGUUCAUGGCUCAUGUGUCUCAACCAUUCUCUCGCAGACUCCUGCAGCCCCUAUGCCCAGGGCUCUCCUUGCGCCAGCCCCGGCUUCUCGAGGCCUGUCUACACUCGCUGCUUUCCUUCCUCACCUCCAAUUUCCCCUCCAACCCACUGCUUCCUGACUCGCUCUUCUCCAUCGAACGGCUCUCGCUCAGGUUUAAGGCUUGGCUUGCUGGCCCUGGAGAUCCCGUCGCCGUCUUCGUCGAACUCGAACUCCUAGCCAUCGUCCUUCCCUGGCCUGUCGCGUCUUCCUGUGCCAUUUGCUGUUGUGCUCAGGUUCCACGAGCUGCCCAUCUCCACAGAAGAGCAGCUGGCAUUGCCCACUGGCCAUGCCGGCUGAAGAAAAGAAGACUGAGGACCCCAGGACGCCCAGCGCGAGGACCCCAGGAAGCCCAGCGCGAGGACUCCACCCACGACGCCCAGCGCGAGGACUUCACGCACAACACGUUGCAACUCUCCUGGAUUAGGCCAAAGCCAUCAUCUGGAAUCCUGCGUGGGACCCUGGACACACGGACACAAACACCUGCCCCCCAGGACCCUCCAACUGUAAAUC
rnacentral:lncRNA from 1 species